rnacentral:tRNA from 1 species
GCAAGUAUAGUUUCAAUACAAACAUUAGACUGUGACUCUAAAAAUAGAAGUUAGACCCUUCUUACUCGCC